rnacentral:tRNA from 1 species
GCUGGUGUAGCUCAGUGGUACAGUUUAUGCUUAGCAAGCAUGAGGCCCUGGGUUCAAUCUCCAGCAUCAAAA